rnacentral:lncRNA from 1 species
GUAAUUCAAUUUCCCAAUCUCACAAAUCCAAACCCUAAAUCAAGUUUCACAGCAAUAGAAUCUAACUCUGAACUUAAAUUUAUUAAUUAACAGAAUCAAACUCUAAAUCUAAACCCAUAAUUCAAACCCUAAAUCCAAUUUCACAACAAUUUCAUCAAUUAAAAAUCAAAAUAUAUAUUAAACCCAAUUUCAUCAAUUAAUAGAAACCAGCUACGGAGCAGAGAGUCGUCAUCUUUGCUAAACAGAGGCAACGCUGGAGAAAAGUUGUCGUCUACGUCGCAGAUCUGAGGCACCAUCACGGAACAGAGGCGACGCAGAGGCAUCAUGGAGCAGAAGCGUUGGCGGAGCAGAGUUGUCGUUGAUGUUAUAGAUCUGAGGCGUCGUCGCGGAGAGGCGGAGGAGGUGAUGAAGCUGUGAGCAGCGAACAAUGCAAUGAGAGGAAGAAAGUGAGCGACAGUAGUAACGAAAGAAGGUAAGAGACGACGACGUGAGGGAUUGAGAGGAAGGAUGUCAGCGAUACACUGAGAAAGAAGAAGGAUUGAAAGAGGUGGU